UACGUAGGGUGCGAGCGUUGUCCGGAAUUAUUGGGCGUAAAGAGCUUGUAGGCGGUCUGUCGCGUCUGCUGUGAAAAUCCGGGGCUCAACCCCGGACUUGCAGUGGGUACGGGCAGACUAGAGUGUGGUAGGGGAGACUGGAAUUCCUGGUGUAGCGGUGAAAUGCGCAGAUAUCAGGAGGAACACCGGUGGCGAAGGCGGCGAUCUGGGAAGAUACUGACGCUGAGGUGCGAAAGCGUGGGGAGCAAACAGG
rnacentral:rRNA from 1 species